rnacentral:rRNA from 1 species
AUGAACGCUGGCGGCGUGCCUAAUACAUGCAAGUCGAGCGAACAGAUGAGGAGCUUGCUCCUCUGACGUUAGCGGCGGACGGGUGAGUAACACGUGGAUAACCUACCUAUAGGACUGGGAUAACUUCGGGAAACCGGAGCUAAUACCGGAUAAUAUAUUGAACCGCAUGGUUCAAUAGUGAAAGACGGUUUUGCUGUCACUUAUAGAUGGAUCCGCGCCGCAUUAGCUAGUUGGUAAGGUAACGGCUUACCAAGGCAACGAUGCGUAGCCGACCUGAGAGGGUGAUCGGCCACACUGGAACUGAGACACGGUCCAGACUCCUACGGGAGGCAGCAGUAGGGAAUCUUCCGCAAUGGGCGAAAGCCUGACGGAGCAACGCCGCGUGAGUGAUGAAGGUCUUCGGAUCGUAAAACUCUGUUAUUAGGGAAGAACAAAUGUGUAAGUAACUAUGCACGUCUUGACGGUACCUAAUCAGAAAGCCACGGCUAACUACGUG